rnacentral:rRNA from 1 species
AUGCUGUGGAGUGUCAGAUCUAGUCGCGUGAGUGGCAGAGUCAUCGGCUCGGGUGGAGCGCGGCCUCAGGGCCGGCUGGGAACUUGGAGUGGCGGCUCUGGAGAGCACCUCGGUGCUAUGGAGUGGUCGUCGACUCUUGUGGAGUGUGGCCUCAGGGCUAGCAUGUGUGAGUUGAUGAGGUUUGCAAGCCGAAGUGGCAGCUCCGGGUCGUGUGGUAGGAUGGCAACUCUGGUCGUUUGGGCGACAGUGAAGUUGGCUUAUUGGGUAUGCAGCCCCGGGGUGUGUUUCGUUGCAUUGGUUUUCGGCCAGUUUUUUUUUAUAAACUGGCCAAUUCUCUUCUUAAAGCAAAGGCAGAGCUCCCGCCUGUUCUAA